rnacentral:rRNA from 1 species
GGGAAACUGCCCGAUGGAGGGGGAUAACUACUGGAAACGGUAGCUAAUACCGCAUAACGUCGCAAGACCAAAGUGGGGGACCUUCGGGCCUCACACCAUCGGAUGUGCCCAGAUGGGAUUAGCUAGUAGGUGGGGUAAUGGCUCACCUAGGCGACGAUCCCUAGCUGGUCUGAGAGGAUGACCAGCCACACUGGAACUGAGACACGGUCCAGACUCCUACGGGAGGCAGCAGUGGGGAAUAUUGCACAAUGGGCGCAAGCCUGAUGCAGCCAUGCCGCGUGUAUGAAGAAGGCCUUCGGGUUGUAAAGUACUUUCAGUGGGGAGGAAGGCGUUAAGGUUAAUAGCCUUGGCGAUUGACGUUACCCGCAGAAGAAGCACCGGCUAACUCCGUGCCAGCAGCCGCGGUAAUACGGAGGGUGCAAGCGUUAAUCGGAAUUACUGGGCGUAAAGCGCACGCAGGCGGUCUGUCAAGUCGGAUGUGAAAUCCCCGGGCUCAACCUGGGAACUGCAUUCGAAACUGGCAGGCUAGAGUCUUGUAGAGGGGGGUAGAAUUCCAGGUGUAGCGGUGAAAUGCGUAGAGAU